AUAAAGCUAACGAGUCCCAAAUAGGACGAAACGCGCGUCCUGGAU
rnacentral:hammerhead_ribozyme from 1 species